rnacentral:rRNA from 1 species
GUAGGUGGCAAGCGUUGUCCGGAAUUAUUGGGCGUAAAUCGCGCGCAGGCGGUUUUUUAAGUCUGAUGUGAAAGCCCACGGGCUCAACCGUGGAGGGUCAUUGGAAACUGGAGAACUUGAGUACAGAAGAGGAAAGCGGAAUUCCACGUGUAGCGGUGAAAUGCGUAGAGAUGUGGAGGAACACCAGUGGCGAAGGCGGCUUUCUGGUCUGUAACUGACGCUGAGGCGCGAAAGCGUGGGGAGCAAACAGGAUUAGAUACCCUGGUAGUCCACGCCGUAAACGAUGAGUGCUAAGUGUUAGGGGGUUUCCGCCCCUUAGUGCUGCAGCUAACGCAUUAAGCACUCCGCCUGGGGAGUACGGCCGCAAAGGCUGA